rnacentral:rRNA from 1 species
UAGACUUGACAUGUAGUGGACAGGUGCAGAAAUGUACUCUUCCGAAAGGACUGCUACAC